UUGUUUACGUCAACGAUAAAGCGUAUACCUCCUGGCAAUAUAACUCGUUUGCCACUGAAAUUGUAAAUCUGUUGAAAUAUAGACAUUAUAAUACCUUUUCUCGGUUCCCCGCGUCCAGUUGUAUAGCCACUUUAGCCAUUUUCAUGGCAUUUUGAAGGGGCUUCAUUGCAACGCAGCGCCAACUGCGGCCAAUCAACGUUCCGGAUAUGCACUCCGGUCUGGUGGUUCUUUGAUGUUUAUUAUUUUCGUACUACUUCCGGGUUUUGUUGUUUACAAUAUAAACCGUUACCAGUUCGUGCUUAACGAUAUUGUGUUAUUGUUUAAAAGACUGUAUAUUUUACUAAACCACCAACGAAGUGGUUAAACUACAUAUGACUGAUAGAAUUUGAAGCGAAUAGUGUUCUCAUUGGAAGUCGCAGCUGCAGCUUUCAAACCAACUUUGGUAAAAAACAGCUUUCUGAAUAGCUCCCAUUUAAGGCUCAAGUUACUUUGAAAGCUACUGCUACAUUAUAUUGAUAGGAUUUUCCUUUGGAUCCUCCGUAUUCUCUUAGGACUGUGUUAUGAAGAAGAGAGUGAGGCGUGCGCGGUUUUCCGAUGUGGCAGCAGGACAGAGAAGCCAGACUCAGUUAGUUGUCGGGGUCAAGAAACAUUUUGGGCGGCGAGGAAGAACCAAUAAUAAUGCUGCAAAGAUAACUUCACCAUCAGUGACAGAUCUACAAUUUUACAAUUGAGCACAGCAGUGUCAGCUGUGGCGACAGAAGGGGAGGAGCGGCCACAGCAUAGAUCAAAGAAAUCCUGUGAUUCCCCUUCAAAAUUCUUGACAAGCAGUCUAGAUUUUGAGGUCAAUGAUUGGUUGUCAGGUGUUUUACCUCCAUAAGGUAAAGUAUCAGCUGUUAAACGUUCUCAAAUGCAACCUACUUCCUUGUCUGAUCCUACAGGUAUGGGCAGACUCAGCACUACAUUCUGUCAUGGAAAGUUCUCACCUCGGAGGCUGCGGCAUGCCUUCGACAAGUGGCCAGGGGAUCCAGACAGAGCCAGCCCAGUCGCCACUGUUUUUAUACAUAGACUUUCAGGGCCUAGUUGGAGUGCCACUUAACCGUGGUCCACGUCACUCAGUUUGUCUGCAAGACCUGCCACACAAAAUGCUACAAGUGCCACACAAUACUGCUCAUAUUUAUGCAGAGGGUUAAUAUCUUGCCCUCUGUGAAUGUGGGCACCAGAGACAGGUGAGAAACUGCAAGCAACUGUAAUGUCACAAUGUUGAGAGCGGCAAUUGCAAAACGAGGGUCAGCAAUGAGCUAGUCUGCAAAUCUGGCCCAAAACAGCAGUGAAACCAUAACAUGAUAUUGAUUUUGGUUUCAGGAAGAGUUCAGAGGGCUCUCAAUGAACGGUGGACCCCAUCUUCUUGUCACCCUCCAUCCCAAGUGUCUCCACAGCCUGGUGUCCUGGGCUCACCACCAUGCAGAGGACUGCUGCUCUUGCCCUGAGCUGAAAGAAGUGCUGGAGAGGCAGUGCUGGGGCUCAGUAAGUGCACGCUAGGGGUGUGUGGAUGAACAUAGUUACGGAAUGGACACACAGGCCACAAAGCCCAGAGCAAACCCUGGACACACUGAGAGUGAUCCCCUACUGGAAGGUGAGGAGCAGCUUCGAGGGAACCAACACCCUGUCAACACCACCAUGUCCCAGCCCAGUACAGCUGCCACCCCCCAGACUCAGAGCGCCGUCCACACUGAUGCUACCACCACCAGUGCAGAUGGUCAGACAGCUUUUGGUACCUCCAAAGUUACCCUGGAAACAGAACACUCAGUAUUUAAUUUCAGUGUUUACUGAAGUAUGGUCUUGACUGCAUUGAAAUGUAUGGCUCUUUGCAGGUGGUUACCAUCUUAUUGUCUGUUGCCAGUCCAAAUUAAUGUGUUUGACCCUCUUGUCCCUAGAAUUUCUCUUUGGUGAGGAGACACCCUCUCCUGCAUCAGCCCUGCUCAUAGACAGGCCAGGUGAAUCAACAAUGAAAAACAUGAUUCAAGUUAUACAGUGCUGGAAAGUUAAGAUUGGUUAAACUAUAAGCUGUUGUCUCAAAUCUUAGGAACGUGUCCAGCAAGGAUGUGUUUGAAGAGAAAAGGAAAAGUGUAUCCUCUGAAUUAUUUGAGCCAUACCUAGAGAAGGAGUGAGUGGAUUGAUGUGGGUUCCAGCCAGAGGUGACAUGCCCAUAGGGGGCACAAGCCACCUAGCAAUUUUAUGAAGCUGACUUUAGCUAGCCCAGAAAGGCUCCCAACCUCAACUAGCUACCAAGAUGCCAUUUCAGUCUAUCAAUCAAGUUAAGAGUAGCUAGCUUGUCUAUCUUAACUGGCAUGCCUAUAAAAGCAAGCAAUAGCUAAAUGUACUGAAUAAGACUGACAUUCUUUUCAGAAUUUAGCAGAGAAGCAUAUUUCGUUUUGUAGUUUUUUUUUUACCCAGGAUACAGACAGCUCAAGAGGUAUGCUUAGCUAUGCAGAUAAAUAUACAUUUUUCUUUACAAAGAAUUAAGCAUUUUGAGUGCAUGAUGCCCCUGGUUCUAGCUAUUUUGCAUAUCAAACCAAAAUUAUACAUAACACAUCAGUGGACAGAAAGAUCUCUAAUUACUAGCGGAAAAAGGGCAACGUGGCUUUAUCUUAAGUGUUUUCUUCCUUUUCCCAUGCCCUGCAGAAUUGCUUCCCCGAAGAAGAGAACCAGAAUAAAAGAAGCAAUUGGACUGAGGUGUAGUAUCCCAUGUUUGUUUUUGGUUUUCAGAGAGGAGAUGCCCAAUCUACAAAUGUCCGUAACCAGGCUGCUUAUCUGUAAUAAAAAGUCCUCCUUACAGCACUGUUAAUUCUCUUAUGACAAUGAACAGUUCUGUUUGUACAUUACCGUUUUGUGAGUGCGGUAGUGUCUCGGGUACAGAAACACUUUAAGGAGUACUAUGAAGAGGUCUGCAAGUGGCCCUGCCCUCACCAUAGGCUGCAACAAGGUCUUCAUCAUUGACUGCUAUCUGCAGCGACACGUCCAACUCAUUCACACAGUUGGGGAACUACAUCUGUGACCAAUGUGGUCAGACCUUCAAGCAGAGGAAAUACCUGUCUGCACCAGAUGUGCCACUCAGGGGGUUAAGCCACUACAGGGGGAGAGAUUAAGCUCAUAUCAGGUGGCAAAGUUCUGCUGAAUUGUGUUGUGAGGGGCUCAAGUACUGGUGAGUCUGUCAGGAUUUAGCCAAGCCUUUGAUUAUGUGGUAUGAUUUGGGUGAGUCUGUAAUAAUGGAAGGGAUGCAUAGGGGCACAAGAAUGCAAGCUUGUAUUUGGCACCCUCACUAAGCCUUUGUCUACUUUAAGAUGACCAAACAAGGCAGAGGCUGAUCUGGAAUUUGCAUGUGACCUAUGUGGGAGCGCUUUGAGAAGGCCCACAACCUCAACAGCCACGGUGCCUCCCCUCACACUAGCAGCUGUCAGAGGAAACAUUGACAGCCCCUCCAACAACCAACCAUCAGAGACUGGGGAUCUGAACCCAUACACCGGUUGAUAGACUUGAUUAGGUCCGUGACCGACAAGGAGCUGCAAAGAACACAACGUCCCUUGAGCCUCUAUAAGGAGUCUGGUAUAGAAUGGUCAUGGGUACAAUGACUAAUUGAACAGGACAUGGAAUCACUAGUCACUUUUAAUGUUUGUACUGUUGUACUCAUUUCAAUUGUAUAUACUGUAUUCUAGUCAAUGCCACUCAGACAUUGCUAGUCCUAAUUUAUAUAUUUCUUAAUUCCAUAAUUUUACUUUUAGAUGUGUGAAUUGUUGAAGUAUUAGAUACUACUACACAAGCAUUUCACUAUACCUGCAAUAACAUCAGCUAAAUAUGUGUGAGACCAAUAACAUUUGAUUUGACUUGUACUGUUCAUGCUCUAAACCAGGAAUAGGCAACUGACUGGGACCACAGAAAAAUAAACUCAUCAGUGGUGUAAAGUAAAAAUACUUAAGUACUACUUAAGUUGUUUUUGGGUGGUAUCUGUACUUUACUAUUUAUAUUUGACAACUUUUACUUCACUACAUUCCUAAAGAACAUGUACUUUUUACUCCAUUUUCCUCAACACAUUUUGAAUGCCAUCUGGUUUAUUUUUACUUUUGAUACUUAGGUAUAUUUAAAACCAAAUACUGGG